GCAGCAGAACGACUGCUUUCGAACGGGGUAUGCUGGGCUUGCGGGAGACUGCAAGGCCCACGUGGAUUGGACCAGUUAAGCCCUGGGGUGUUUUCCUGAGGCUAUGAAUUUGUGGAUUGGGAAUGAGUUGUCGGUGGCCUCAUUCCAUAGGGAUCAUUAUGAGAAUCUGUAUGCUGUUGUUACGGGGGAGAAGCAUUUCCUUCUCCUUCUGCCUAUGGACGUCCACCGGAUGUACAUCCGAGACUAGCCUAAUGCUCAGUACCACUACUCAAAGAACAGUGGAGAGUUCAAAUUGGAGCUUGAAGAUCCAGUGAGAUAUGUGCCUUGGUGCAGUGUGGAUCCUUAGCCGUCCCCGGAGAAUAGGGAGAUGGACAGGUCGAAAUUUCCAUUGUACUUUGAUGGACCAAAGCCAUUUGAAGGCACAGUAAAGGCUGCGGAUAUUGUGUACUUGCCAAGUAUGUGUUUCAUCAUGUUAGACAAACUCCAGACAGCAGAGGAAGCACUAUCGCAAUAAACUACUGUAAUUAGAACUUUAAGCUUCUUCUGUUGGUGUGAUUCUAAAGGAGUAUAAGAAACUGAAGUCCAUUUUAUCUGGCUAUGAUAUGCAGUUCGAUAUGAAAUAUGCCUACUUCGACUUCUUGCAAUUCGGAUAAAAUAAAAUAAAAAACUUCUUCCAAUCAAUUCCUCACCCCUCAAUAUCGCCGCAUGAUCAGGUGCUGCAUGAAAUGGGAUGUGUUGAAUCAUCUUCAGAUACUUCUAUUUUCAUUCAGGGGAUGAACUAGAUACCAAUGCCGACGAGAGGGUGAAUGUGACUGAUUAAAAUGGUGACAGCGACGGAAAAUGAACACUAACGCGGUACCAAAGGUUGUUUAUUCUUUGAGGAGCUCUCGUUGAGAACAUGCAAAGGCAGGAACAGCUCUAAUGUUUGCAUUGAUUUUUGAACAAGUUUGAGGAGAAUUUGGCCUGACCAUAUGAUGAUCAGUAGUGAACUGCCCUUUGAGAGGCUUUGCUUCGUAAAUUUCUCAGUAGGUUGAGUCACCUGAAACUUAGAUUCAUACGGUUUAAAAGAAGCACCACAAGCAUGGUCUUGUUUCAGCAAGACAGAAAGAUCAAGGGUAGUUCCCAGACCGGGCUUCGGCUUGUUGCUGCGGGUUUAUUUUGCAGAGUCCUUGUUUCUGUGACAGAGCUAUUUGAUUGAAAAGAGUGGUGUCUGUGUUCAGGUGAUAUGAUGUUGUGUUACUUUGUUGAGCCCCUUACCCAAGCUUCACAAGGUUCUGCCACUGAAAAAAAGUCUCUCUGUUGUACCAAAAGUUAAAAAGAGUGUCUUGAUUAGAAAUGGAAUUUUCAAUUCCUCUUCAUAAAUACCAUGACUAUCACAGGGCAUGGGCUUCUGUGGUAUGCUAGUAGUAGGUGUCUAUUUGUAAAUAGUGGAUCUUGAUUAAGGAUUGGAAUAUCACAGCAUUUUCUGCAAA